UGGGGAAUUUUGGACAAUGGGCGAAAGCCUGAUCCAGCAAUGCCGCGUGUGUGAAGAAGGCCUUCGGGUUGUAAAGCACUUUUGUCCGGAAAGAAAUCCUUGGCUCUAAUACAGUCGGGGGAUGACGGUACCGGAAGAAUAAGCACCGGCUAACUACGUGCCAGCAGCCGCGGUAAUACGUAGGGUGCAAGCGUUAAUCGGAAUUACUGGGCGUAAAGCGUGCGCAGGCGGUUUGCUAAGACCGAUGUGAAAUCCCCGGGCUCAACCUGGGAACUGCAUUGGUGACUGGCAGGCUAGAGUAUGGCAGAGGGGGGUAGAAUUCCACGUGUAGCAGUGAAAUGCGUAGAGAUGUGGAGGAAUACCGAUGGCGAAGGCAGCCCCCUGGGCCAAUACUGACGCUCAUGCACGAAAGCGUGGGGAGCAAACAGGAUUAGAUACCCUGGUGGUCCACGCCCUAAACGAUGUCAACUAGUUGUUGGGGAUUCAUUUCCUUAGUAACGUAGCUAACGCGUGAAGUUGACCGCCUGGGGAGUACGGUCGCAAGAUUAAAACUUAAAGGAAUUGAC
rnacentral:rRNA from 1 species